rnacentral:lncRNA from 1 species
GUUUAUUUCUUCCUGUGUUGAUUUUAAAGACUUGAUUAUCGUUUCAAGCUGCACUUUUCCAGCCUGGAUACUCUGCUCUAACUGUGUCUCUUCUUGCUGGAGGCGAUUCAGCUCUGCUUUUGCUCUAUUAAGAUCAUCUUCCUGUGACUUUAGAUCUGAUUCCUGAGAUUGAAUCUGCAUUUUCAGUGAUGAAAUCACCUGUGUUUCCUCCUGGCAUUUCUGCCUUACAUCAUUCAGCAUAUCCUUCAGUUUGGCUUUCUGUUGGUCCAUUUCAUCCAGGCGGUCCUGGGCAUCUUGUUUCUGAGCCUCAAGUUCUUGCAAGUUACUUGUCUCCCUAUCUAAAUCAUUUUGCAGUUCCUGAACUUCAUUCGUUUUCUGUCUAAUUGAGUCUUCC